GCUGUGGCUCUCCAAAGGUGCAUCUCAGAAGGCAGCAUCUUUUUCUCUGUGGCUAUAGAUGGCAGUACUUCACUACCUAUGAUCAUCUACAGAGCUUGGGUUGCUGAAGUCAGAGCCACCGGUCAGGGGAAAGCAGUGUUCCAGGUUAGCUGGACUGCAAGACCCUGAGGAUUCUCCUGUUUCUGCUUCCUGUCUUCCCAUGGUGCACUGGGGUUAAAGGAAUCUGAUCUGGCUCAUGGAAGCGACUUCAACAAGUUAAAUGCUCUCAGCUGGUGUGUAAUGCUUCACAGGAAUUCCCCGACUCAUCCAUCUGGAUUUCGAAACGGCUCUGUCAGAUCUUACGGCCACGUUUUUCCCACUGGUUCGUGGCAAAACCCCAAUACUGCUACUGCUGUGAAAUUGUUAAGCUGUUUGUGAAACUUCAGAAAGCACAAGGUCUGGCAGCUCAUACUGACAAUGCUGGUAAGUAAGAAGAGGACUGAGGAGACCAGUUGUGGCUGAGGACG